AUUUGUAAAUGUUUAUGAGAAAAGGCCUCCAUGCCAAAUCGCCUAGUAAGCUGGAAACUGGCGUCUUAGAUAAACAUUUUGGGGAUCCCUUUCCCUGUUUAAGAACGUCUAGAGGGUAGAUUUCCAUUCACUGCCUCGAAUACUGGUUGGCAGUCAAAUGUCACACUCUGGAUCUUUCAUUUGUUCCCAGGAUGCAUUUGUGAUAUCAGGAGCAUUAAAGAAUAAUACUUCACAGUUGGCUCUGGAAGCCUAUUGACCUGGCCACAUUUGUUUGUAUCUAUGUGGAGAACUAUGUCCCACCCACAUUCUGGUUCAUCUGUUGAAAUCCUAGCUCCAAGGACGUUACAGUGUGACCUUAUUUAGAGGCCUGCUGGGAAGAUAACAUGAGCUAAUCAACAUGAAAGCAAAUUCAAGAGACAAAGAGAAUUAAAGCUGAGACUUUAACAACUGACCUCUGAAUCAAAAUCGGGUGGCUGAGAGGCUAAGGCAUACAUGCAUCAUUCCCUGGAGGUCUCAGGGGACCUCAGAAGAUGGAGUCGGAAGAACGCAAGAGCAGGAAUAAGGAGCUGGGCACGGCAGAAACCUGUGACAGGAACAGGAUCCACCGCUGCCCUCUUGAUCCCGCAGCAGCUGAGAUCUCUAGCAGGGACUUCCAUGGGACUGGAUCAGCCUCAUCUAUGAUGGAGGAGAAGGGCCCUUGUGCCCACCCAAGACUUAUAGGUAGGGAAUGGUAGCUGAGCAGAGGAUGCUCCUCCCUGAAUCUUUCUAGGCACUUGAUUGCCGAGAGAUUUUCUUCAGGAGUUCUGACUCCUGUAAAUCAGCCCAUAGCCAGGAAUCUGUAAGCAGCUCAGUAAAUAAAGACAGCGGGUAGAAGAGAAGCUAACUGGGGUAUCCUCAGGAAUGUUGGGGGAGGAGAUGGAAUAGUGAUGGGCAAGACAAAUGAUAAAAAUUCAUUUUAUAUACAUUUUAUGUAUAUAUAUAUACACAUGAAGAUUGUGCAAGGCAAUCCAUGAUUACUUAUAAUCAACAUAUGCUAAUAAAAUGUUUAGAAAAAUGAGCAAUUAAUUAGUGGCUCCAGGGAACCUUUGUUCCUAGUAAAAGUCACACAGAAGUCUCCUAACAAAAGAUGGAUUGGGUCUCUCCCAUCUCCCUAAUAUGACGAGCUGCCUCUUGUUACCCAUUCCUUUUCUCUUUCUGGUAAAAGUAUUCCAUCUGUGACAUUAGCCACCUGGACUUAAAUAAGCUGAGCCGGCUCAGGAGUGGCACUACUCGUAUUUCAGGGUUCCACGUACGGACAGUGUUUGCUACACGGGAUAAAGCAGACUCAGGACAUGCUGAAGUCCUGUGGGACAGCACAGCUAUAGACAAUAUAGAUCAGUGGGAUUGGUGGACCAGCCAAGGUACAUCAGGCAUCUGCUGUGA